rnacentral:rRNA from 1 species
AGUGAACGCUGGCGGUAGGCCUAACACAUGCAAGUCGAACGGCAGCACAGUAAGAGCUUGCUCUUACGGGUGGCGAGUGGCGGACGGGUGAGGAAUACAUCGGAAUCUACUUUUUCGUGGGGGAUAACGUAGGGAAACUUACGCUAAUACCGCAUACGACCUACGGGUGAAAGCAGGGGAUCUUCGGACCUUGCGCGAUUGAAUGAGCCGAUGUCGGAUUAGCUAGUUGGCGGGGUACAGGCCCACCAAGGCGACGAUCCGUAGCUGGUCUGAGAGGAUGAUCAGCCACACUGGAACUGAGACACGGUCCAGACUCCUACGGGAGGCAGCAGUGGGGAAUAUCGGACAAUGGGCGCAAGCCUGAUCCAGCCAUACCGCGUGGGUGAAGAAGGCCUUCGGGUUGUAAAGCCCUUUUGUUGGGAAAGAAAAGCAGCAGGUUAAUACCCCGCUGUUCUGACGGUACCCAAAGAAUAAGCACCGGCUAACUUCGUG